UACGUAGGGGGCAAGCGUUGUCCGGAUUCAUUGGGCGUAAAGAGCGUGUAGGCGGCCAGGUAGGUCCGCUGUGAAAACUCGAGGCUCAACCUCGAGAUGUCGGCGGAAACCAUCUGGCUAGAGUCCGGAAGAGGAGAGUGGAAUUCCCGGUGUAGCGGUGAAAUGCGUAGAUAUCGAGAGGAACACCUGCGGCGAAGGCGGGUUGCUGGGCUGACACUGACGCUGAGGCGCGAAAGCUAGGGGAGCGAACGGG
rnacentral:rRNA from 1 species